CGUGUAGGCGGAUUGACAAGUCAGGUUUUAAAGAAUAUGGCUCAACCAUAUCAAUGGGUCUGAUACUGUCAGUCUUGAAUUCGAGAGAGGGAAGCGGAAUUCCUGGUGUAGCGGUGAAAUGCCAUGAUAUCAGGAGGAACACCGGUGGCGAAGGCGGCUUCCUGGCUCGACAUUGACGCUGAGGCGCGAAGCGUGGUAGCGAACA
rnacentral:rRNA from 1 species